GGAGAGGUGGGUGAGUGGCUGAAACCAGUAGUUUGCUAAACUGCCGUAGCUCUAAAGGUUACCGGGGGUUCGAAUCCCCCCCUCUCCACUA
rnacentral:tRNA from 3 species